rnacentral:rRNA from 1 species
GAUGAACGCUGGCGGCGUGCUUAACACAUGCAAGUCGAACGGAAAGGCCCAAGCUUGCUUGGGUACUCGAGUGGCGAACGGGUGAGUAACACGUGGGUGAUCUGCCCUGCACUUCGGGAUAAGCCUGGGAAACUGGGUCUAAUACCGGAUAGGACGAUGGUUUGGAUGCCAUUGUGGAAAGUUUUUUCGGUGUGGGAUGAGCUCGCGGCCUAUCAGCUUGUUGGUGGGGUAAUGGCCUACCAAGGCGUCGACGGGUAGCCGGCCUGAGAGGGUGUACGGCCACAUUGGGACUGAGAUACGGCCCAGACUCCUACGGGAGGCAGCAGUGGGGAAUAUUGCACAAUGGGCGCAGGCCUGAUGCAGCGACGCCGCGUGGGGGAUGACGGCCUUCGGGUUGUAAACUCCUUUCGCUAGGGACGAAGCGUUUUUGUGACGGUACCUGGAGAAGAAGCAUCGGCUAACUACGUG